AUUGAACGCUGGCGGCAGGCCUAACACAUGCAAGUCGAGCGAGCGGCGGACGGGUGAGUAAUGUAUGGGGACUGCCCGAUAGAGGGGGAUAACUACUGGAAACGGUGGCUAAUACCGCAUACUGUCGGAUAACCCAUAUGGGAUUAGCUAGUAGGUAAGGUAAUGGCUUACCUAGGCGACGAUCCCUAGCUGGUCUGAGAGGAUGAUCAGCCACACUGGGACUGAGACACGGCCCAGACUCCUACGGAGGCAGCAGUGGGGAAUAUUGGUCAAUGGGCGCGAGCCUGAACCAGCCAAGUAGCGUGCAGGAUGACGGCCCUUGGGUUGUAAACUGCUUUGUAUGGGGAUAAGGUACCAUACGAAUAAGGACCGGCUAAUUCCGUGCCAGCAGCCGCGGUAAUUC
rnacentral:rRNA from 1 species